AUGCUCCUCUCGCAUUCCAGCUUGGGGAGGCUUAAAGGGGACGCGAACCCGGGGGGGCUGGUGGCCCACGGCAAGGGGGUGCCGCGAGGGGAGGCUGCGGGGCAGCGGGGGCUGUGCCAAUGGAGGAGGAGGACGGAGGACAUUGGGGUGCUGGAGGCACAGGAGGGUUGCCUGGGGAGCUGUACCCCUCGGCAGGGUCCUGGUGCCCUGCCCCACACAGCCCUUGUCCCCACCACCGCACACACGGGCGCCUGUGGCUCCAACACACAACCUAGGUAGGGUUUUAUUGUGCAGACAGAGGAACACUCCUGGAUGAAUUUCUUUGACGACAAGCUGUGGAAACAACUACAAAUGUUCACAAAAAAAUGAGACUCGAGCCGCGUCCGCGCUCUGCCGCUGGGCUCUGCGCUUGCCCCGGCGCUCGCCAGCACGCCCAGGGAGCUGGGCACAGCCAGGCCUCAGCUGGGCACGGCCUCAGCAGCACUAGACAGCAAGCAAGCAGGCAGGGAUGGGCAGGGGAUGGGCACGGGGGUAGGAAGCAGCUCUGGAGAGGAGCAAGGAGUGGGGAGCAGCUGCUGUGUAUUGCUCUCAGCCGUGGUGGCACAGCCCGGGCUGCACGGGUCUCACAGCUGGGGUUCACCCCAUGCACCUGGAUGCUCCUGCCUGCCUCUUCCUUUCCCUGUGUCCUCCCCUGAGUGAGGCUCCUCGGGGUCCCGUGGGCAUCCAGGUAGCAGAUCUGAACUGUGCUGGCCAUCCCUGUCCUUGCUCUCGCCAACCCCUGGCACCAUCCUGGCCUUACCGAGGUUGUGGGCUGCCCUUCCAUCCUUUGCUGCUCUUAAAGGGAGACAGGGAAAUGCUGAAAGGUAGGAGGGAGAAGGGAGGGGGCACACAGGCUCCUCCCAGGAGCAUGGUGGGAUUUGAGGAAGACUGCUCUGCCUCUCUAUGAGGAAGGACUGGGGUCCCCAGAUGUUCCCUUAGGGAAGACAAGGUGCCAGUGCCGGGAAGUCCCUAUGGAGACCCUGGGGUCACACUCCCAGAGGAGAACCCCCUCCCCACCAGCCAGCUGGGGUGCAGCUCUGAGAGCCCUGGGGCAGGCAGUGGGGCUGUGGCUAGCUCAGAGAGGCUCUGCUUGCCUCCACUGGUGCUGGCAGCAAUUCUCUCGUCACAGCUAAGGGCUGGUCCCCGGGGAGAGCGAGUGAUGUCUGGCUCGGGCAGCCCAAAGGAACCAGAUGGUGUCUGGAGGAGGCCUCACUUCCAGCUCAGCUGUAAGAAACAGAUUAGGAAAAACUUGUUGCCGAAGCACAUUUGCACUGAGCCCGUUCCCAGGGCCCCAGAGGAGCCCUAAGGAGGCAGGGGAGCUUCAUGGUGUCUCCUAGACCUGCUCCUCUCUCUCCUCCCCCAGCCUGCCAGGCCCAGCAGCAUCCCAUGGCUCCCCUGCUCACUGAGACAGGAGUAAUUUUGUGCCCUCUCCCAGCCGUGGCAGCUCAGGUGAGAGGAGCAGGGUGAGGAAUAAGUCACCCGGGUGGCAGGCAGGGUAGGUGGGGACACCAAGAGCCCUGUCACCUCCAGGAGCCACAGCACACCACCCACCACAAGCACAGCACCCACCAUGGGCACCCUCUGCAUGCUUUCGCAUCACCCCUCUCUCUUACCUGCCAAUCCAGCUGUCUUUCCCCACUUGAGAACAGGCAAACCCCAAGAGUUAAAGGGAUGGGACAAGCGAGGCUGAGGCCUCCAGUGCUCCCAGCACAAGCAAACCAGCCAGCCUACGGAGCGGGGAGGCGCGAUGGGAGAAGCAACGCUGCCUAGCAGAGCCACCAUGCUUCGGAGCGGGGCGUGUGUGCAUGGGAUGGUGGGCCUCGGCACAGGAUGGUGGUUAGCGUUAAUAUACGGCUAAAUAGAGAUAACACAGAGAGGUUUCACGGCUUCCAGACGCUUCAGCUUCUCUUUCCAGGGGCUGCGAGGAAGGCGGGGUGGCUGGGGUGCUCAGUGUGUGCGUGCGUGUGUGUGCGAGCGCUGUGAGUGUGUGUGUGUUUCGCCUUUCAGAGGGACACGAAGUCCACGGCUUGCAGGAGAGGCAGGGAAAGGAGCAGCAGCAGGAGCCACGAGGUGUUCUGGAUCAAGAGGCUGAAGCCGGCGCAUUUCUCCAGUUUGUCUGUGAGGAGAAGGAAUGGGGAGGGAGAGAAGAGAGGCAAUGAAAUCCCUCGGGAGUUCUAAUGGUACUGGAACACAGCUUCUUGCAAUGCAGCACGCCCCAUCCUGGCCUGUUUCCCUCCUAACAUGUAGCAGCAAAGAUUUUUUGAGACCCUGAGAAGCAUAACCCUGCCUGUGCCUGACUGAGGUGACAAGUGGAUGGGCACCAGAUAAUUCACAGAAAUCUGCCCAUAAGAUGUCAGCCGUAGCAGGGUAACGGACACCAAAGCAUGGUAACAAAUAUGCAUUUAGGAACGCCAAGGAUGGAUAAACACCUCAUGACAUCACAAUCUGCAGCUGCAGGGGAAAACAUUAAAGAAAUACAGGACAAGUGCAAAAGCAUGAGAGAAGAAGGUGUAUGAAAAAUUGUAAACCAGAAGCUGAAAAAGCAUUUUAUUGAGGGAAAAGAAGAUGGGGGAAGAGAGAAAAAAAAGUCACAGCUGCUGCUCCUGGGGAGAAAAAAAGAGAAGGAUUUCGUGAAUACUGACAUAAAGAGGCUUUCUCCAGUAACAAUAAAACUGCUGUAAAAAAACAAAAAACAGGUUGAGAGACAAGACCACCACAGCCUUUGUAAAGAUGGGCCUUUCUCCAGCCGCUCGGAGCGCCGCUGGCCCGCACACCCCUCACGAACGGCGACGCCGAAGGCUCUGAGGGCUCUGAGGGGAGCAGCGGGAGGCGCCCCCUUGCGGCGCGGGAACAGCGGCGCGGCGGCGGCGCAGCCCCGCCCCGUCUCCCUCACGGCGCCGCCAUGGGCUCUCAGUGACGGUCCCCGCGCUCCAGCGGCACUCCAGGCUCCUGCUUCUCCCUCAGUGGCAUUCGGGACAAUCGCUUUCACUCUCCGUGUCUCUCAGCAAAAGCUUUCAGCGAAACUCGGGGUACCUGCCUGUCCCUCAGCGGCACUCGAGACACCCACUCUGCCCCUUCGUGUCCUUCAGCGAAAGCCCUCUGCGAAGCUCGGGGCACCUGCCUGUCCCUCAGCGACGCUUGGAACACCCAUUUUUCCUCUCCAUGUCCCUCAGGGCACCCAGGCGACACUCAGGACACCCAUUCUGCCCCUCAGAGAAACUUGGGGCACCUGCUUGUCCCUCAGCGACACUCGGGACACCCACUCUGCCCCUCCGUGUCCCUCAGCGAAAGCCCUCAGUGAAACUCAGGGCACCUGCCUGUCCCUCAGUGACAUUGGGGACACCCAAUUUUCCUCACAGCGCCCCAGGGACACUGCAGGAACCUUCCUCUGCCUCUCUGUCCCUCGGUGUCAAUGGGGCACCCACAUUCCCCGUCAGUGACCCCUGAAGCCCCUCAAUGACAGGGUACCCCACUAGCCCUGGUGACCCCCACAGACCCCUCCUCAGUUCUUGGGGCAUCUACUUCUCCCUUCAGUGCCAAUAAUCUCCAGCACUGCUAAACCUGAGGCCUCUGAGUCAUUUAAAGUCCUGAAAAAAAUGCAUAAGAUUAUUUUUAAAAAAACCCCAAAAUUCCUAUUGAAGUUCAUAUGCUGUCUUAAAACCCUUUGGAACAAGUAUGUUCCUAAGCUUUUUGUCGCAAGGAUUGACUUAUUUACUAUGGUUAUUUACACAUGAACAUAAACUGUAUUUAUGUAGUUCUUUACUGUUGGAAGAGUGGAAGGUGUUUGUGUCAGUCAGUUAUGACAUGAUUUUUCAUUUUACUCUUUCCGUGGAAUAUAAUUUUUUAUGCCAUGGUUUGUGGAUUUCAGUUAAAAAACAUUGGGUAAGAUACUCCAAAAAGCAAUAUUUUUUAACUUGAAGGACGUACUGAUAGUACUUACUUAUUUCUGAGGUUACACAUUAGUAAAUUUAAAAAAAACCCUUAAAGCAAGUUUUUUGUAACCAAAGGAAAACCAGAAAAUUCUGUUGGUGUCAAUCAGAGGCAGGGAUAAAAAGAAAUAAUAAUAAUAAGAAAGGCAGGGAAUGAAUUAGAUGAAAACCAGAGGAAAACAUUGCUAUUAUAAUCAUGCUACACACACGGGGGAAGGCUCUUCUUGCAAAACACACACUUAAGAAAGCAGGGAUUUACUAAGCACCACAAACAACAUAACCUGCUGUUUACUACAAGAAGAGUAAACAAACACUAGGAACCAACCCACAGCUUCUUUUCGUGCAAUUCCUCUCUGUGCUGGCAGGCCAGGGCUGCAUUUCUGAAAAUAUAUUGGAAAUAAAUCACAAGAAGCUCCA